AAUGAACGUUGGCGGCAUGGAUUAGGCCUGCAAGUCGAGCGAGAAGGAAAUCAAAGUUUACUUUGGUUUCCGGAAAGCGGCGAAAGGGAGAGUAACGCGUAGUUAUCUACCCCAAGGCCCGGAAUAGCUGCGGGAAACUGCAGGUAAUGCCGGAAAAUAUCCCCGGCUCCAAGGUGUGCUUCAGCCUGGGGCGGAGACUGCGUUGUACUAGCUUGUUGGUAGGGUAAUGGCCUACCAAGGCUACGAUGCAUAGCGGGCGUGAGAGCGUGGCCCGUCUCACUGGGACUGAAACACUGCCCAGACACCUACGGGUGGCUGCAGUCGAGAAUCUUCGUCAAUGGGCGAAAGCCUGACCGAGCUAUGCCGCGUGCGGGAUGAAGGCCCUCGGGUUGUAAACCGCUGUCGUAGGGGAGAAAGGACCGUUGAAGAGACGGUUUUGAUCUAUCCUAGGAGGAAGUCCGGGCUAAGUUCGUGCCAG
rnacentral:rRNA from 1 species